AAGCAAAGCUCCACGAGCUUUUCCGCUCCGGCUCUCCUCCUCCCGUUCUGCACAGGGCCCUCUCUCCCAGGAGGAGUCAGCAGUGGAUUUGCUGUUAGCAAUUGCUUUCGCUCCAGCUUUGCCGAUAUCCUUCAAAGAGAAUCGCUGCUCGGGAGGAAGAGCUACGUGUGUGAAAAAUUACCCUGCUGAAGCUACACUAAUGGCAGCCCGCAGUGUGUAUACCUGCAAGCACAGAAUGCAAAGUCUGACCCUGCCAGGUCGGGAUACAGCGCAGCUCUCUCCCACUAUUGAGAGCCUGAACAGCAGCAGCGUCAGUGAACCCCGUUUAUAUGCUGGGACUUUAUGGUGUUGGUACUGUGAAAGGAAACAAAAGUGCUCCUUUAGC
rnacentral:lncRNA from 1 species